CGAUUUUAGCCUGCUAGUUGCGCGAGUUCAGACUCGCAGCAGAUAGCUCAGUAACACGUGGUCAAUCUACCCUGCAGACACGGACAACCUCGGGAAACUGAGGCUAAUCCGCGAUACCGAUCCCACGCUGGAAUGCCGGGAUCCACAAACGCUCCGGCGCUGCAGGAUGCGGCUGCGGCCGAUUAGGUAGACGGUGGGGUAACGGCCCACCGUGCCGAUAAUCGGUACGGGUUGUGAGAGCAAGAGCCCGGAGACGGAAUCUGAGACAAGAUUCCGGGCCCUACGGGGCGCAGCAGGCGCGAAACCUUUACACUGCACGCAAGUGCGAUAAGGGGACUCCGAGUGCGAGGGCAUAUAGUCCUCGCUUUUGAGAACCGUAAGGUGGUUCUCGAAUAAGAGCUGGGCAAGACCGGUGCCAGCCGCCGCGGUAAUACCGGCAGCUCAAGUGAUGGCCAAUCUUAUUGGGCCUAAAGCGUCCGUAGCUGGCCGUGAAAGUUCGUCGGGAAAUCCAUCCGCUCAACGGAUGGGCGUCCGGCGAAAACUUCACGGCUUGGGACCGGAAGGCUCGAGGGGUACGUCCGGGGUAGGAGUGAAAUCCUGUAAUCCUGGACGGACCGCCGAUGGCGAGAGCACCUCGAGAAGACGGAUCCGACAGUGAGGGACGAAAGCUAGGGUCUCGAACCGGAUUAGAUACCCGGGUAGUCCUAGCCGUAAACGAUGUUCACUAGGUGUGGCACAGGCUACGAGCCUGUGCUGUGCCGUAGGGAAGCCGAGAAGUGAACCGCCUGGGAAGUACGUCCGCAAGGAUGAAACUUAAAGGAAUUGGCGGGGGAGCACUACAACCGGAGGAGCCUGCGGUUUAUUUGGACUCAACGCCGGACAUCUCACCAGCUCCGACUACAGUAAUGACGGUCAGGUUGAUGACCUUACCACGAGCUGUAGAGAGGAGGGCAUGGCCGCCGUCAGCUCGUAC
rnacentral:rRNA from 1 species